rnacentral:sRNA from 19 species
CUUCGUAGCCCGCAACGGUCUCCUCCCUCGUUGCGGUGCACACCACGGAAUUUCCUCCCUCCGUGGACCAGACGACGCCCACCGGAUCUCCUCCCCCGGUGGGCGUUUGUC